rnacentral:rRNA from 1 species
AUUGAACGCUGGCGGCAGGCUUAACACAUGCAAGUCGAACGAGUGGCGUACGUGUGAGUAAUGCUUGGGAAUCUAGCUUAUGGAUGGGGAUAACUACGGGAAACUGUAGCUAAUACCGCGUACCAUAGGCUGAGCCCAAGUGGGUUUAGGUAGUUGGUGUGGUAAAGGCUCACCAAGCCGACGACCUCUAGCUGGUCUGAGAGGAUGACCAGCCACACUGGGACUGAGACACGGCCCAGACGCCUCCGGGAGGCAGCAGUGGGGAAUAUUGCGCAAUGGGGGAAACCUGAGGCAGCCAUGCCGCGUGAAUGAAGAAGGCCUUCGGGUUGUAAAGUUCUUUCGGUAGCGAGGCGUUACCUACAGAAGAAGCACCGGGUAACGCCGUGGCAGCAGCCGCGGUAAUAC